rnacentral:lncRNA from 1 species
UUGUAGAAGGGAGAUAAUGGUGGCAACGGAGGAGAGGUAAAUUUUGCGUUUUUUUCUUCAUGAUAUGUGUGUUUAGGUUUUCAUUAUAGUUUUCAAAAAAGGCGUUUUCAUAUAGAUUUGGUGUGGGCAGGCAUUGCGUGAGAGAACCACCACAUAGGAGUCUGCGCAACCGUGGUCUUCUUUCCCCAUCUUCGGCGAACUUUCUCGCUCAACCCCUACCUCAAUCCUUAAUUAUCCAUGUCAUGGAGCACAUCGACCACUAGGCAGUUGUUCAUCGACUACUAGACAGUUGGUCGGAAUAUAAAAAGUUGGAUAUCUCACUCGCGGUGGUAGUUAGAGUAGUGAAAAUUCCACAUCCGACUAUUAGGCAAUUGGCAGGUGCAGCAGACGAAGUUGCACAUCAUUUGCUAGAUAGGCGGCCGGGACAGCUGAUGAAGUUGUACAACAACUGCUAAACAGUUGGCCAGGACAGCAGACGAAGUUGCACAUUGCACAGCCAGAGGCUGUUGAGGUGGUGAAAACUGCACAUCCACGGAGUCGGGGGAACGUUGUACAUUGACCUACUAGAACGUUGGUUGCGGCAGCAGAUGAAGUUGCAUAUCGUCUGGUAGUCAGUUGGCGCAGAUAGCGCAUGAAGUUGCACAUCUCACUAACAUGGAUAAUUAGGGAGGUAAAAAAUGCACAUCCAUGGGGUAGGGAAAAAGUUGCACAUCGACUACUAGGCAGUUGGCCGGGCAGCAGCCGAAGUUGCACACCAACUACUAGGCAGUUGGACGGGCAGUAGUCGAAGUUGCACAUCGUCUGCUAGGCAGGUGGAACGGGCAUCGGAUGAAGUUGCACAUCAUUUGUUAGUCAGUUGGCACGAACAACAGAUGUUAUUGCACAUCAUUUGUUAGCCAAUUGGCGCCGACAGCAAAUGAAGUUGCACAUCUCACUGGGCAGGGGUAAUUAGGGUGGUGAAAAAUGCAUGUCCACGUGGUAGAGAUAAGAUGCAGAUCUACUGCUAGAUAGUUGUCCGAGCGGUAAAUGAAGUUGCAUAUCAUCUGCUAGACAAGUGGACGGGGCAGCAGGUGAAGUUUCUCAUCACAUGAAGUUGAUUCAUCUAACACUAAAAUUACACCAUGCAGUACUAUAGUUUGGUUGUGGUAGCACCAAAUUUAGUUUUAAAAAAAGUUGCAUCCCAUAGUAUAAAAGUUGCACCAUGUAGUACCAACAGUUGGCUGUGAAAAAAGUUCAUCGAAACCUAUAUAAAUUAAAUCUAGUUUUAAAGAUCUCAUCGCGAGGAUUACAACGAUGAAAACGGAUUUUAAUUUUAAUAUGUGGUUUGAAAGUUAUAGCUUUUGAAUUUUUUGAAAUGCAAUUAAUUGGCUUUUUGCUUUACUAAUGCAGAUAGGAAGAAGUGGCGCCAGCGUGAAGGAGGAAAUAGAAGACGUGUCGGUGGCCGAUGCUUUUUUAGUUUUGUCUCACGUGGGGACCAGGUUUCUUAAUUAGGACAUGGGACAUAAAUAUUCCUAAUAUGGCUGGCUGCCGAGGAUCGCUAGCGAGCGCACGGCUGCUCGCUAGACGUAUCCCUA